GCCUACGUGGUGUAGUGGUCAGCACGCUGGGUGCGUAACCGAAGUUCGUGGUUCGAGUCCCGGCGAAGGCU
rnacentral:tRNA from 1 species